UUCUGGUGCGUUACACCCGGCC
rnacentral:misc_RNA from 1 species